AUAUAGAAAAACAGGUCAGGAGAGCAAGCAAUUAAUCUUUAAGGCACAAAUUGAAAACUUUUGUUUUAAACUGUUGUUUUAACACAUCUGUGGUCAUUGUUAAUGCAGUCCACACACUGACGACAGACAAAACUGAUUCAGCAUUGUGUAAACCAACAACACGAAAUAUGAAAUCAAAGAAGGAGGCUGUGUAUGCAAAUGUCCCCAAAAGACGAUGAUCAAAAAGAGUAUCUACUGGAAUAAAUGUUCAAGCUCAAAUCUGACUCAGACCUCUUAAUUCACAUUUGUUCUCUGCCAGGAUGUUUUAACUUCAGUUUUUUUUUUUUUUUAAUAUAUUAUUGUGAUGCAUAGUGAUUUACAGUAUCUCGCACAUUCCCUGCACUGUAACAUACAGAAACAACAGACAUCUGCUGUUAUGUUUAUUUUCCAUAUUGUAUACUCCAUAUUGUGUAUAUUUGAUAAAGGUAUAAUUCUGUGUUGUGUAUAUUUUGUAUAAUGUGUGCAUAUACUGUAUUGUAUAAAUCCUGUAUUGUAUUGUGUAUGUUAAUAUUAAUUUUUAUUAUUAUUGUUACAUUCUGUACUGUGUUAUUUUGUAUAUUUAUUUUGUAUAUUUGUAUAUUUUAUGUAGUCUAGUGACUGUCAAAGACUACACUUAAGUGUCUAAACACUGGUUUAUUUGAAUAAAAUUAUAUAUUUUUA